rnacentral:rRNA from 1 species
CUAGCGGGAUGCUUUACACAUGCAAGUCGAACGGCAGCGCGAGAGAGCUUGCUCUCUUGGCGGCGAGUGGCGGACGGGUGAGUAAUAUAUCGGAACGUGCCCAGUAGCGGGGGAUAACUACUCGAAAGAGUGGCUAAUACCGCAUGAGAUCUCACGAUGAAAGCGAGGGACCGCAAGGCCUCGCGCGAUUGGAGCGGCCGAUGUCGGAUUAGCUAGUUGGCGGGGUAAAAGCCCACCAAGGCUACGAUCCGUAGCUGGUUUGAGAGAACGACCAGCCACACUGGGACUGAGACACGGCCCAGACUCCUACGGGAGGCAGCAGUGGGGAAUUUUGGACAAUGGGGGCAACCCUGAUCCAGCCAUGCCGCGUGUGUGAAGAAGGCCUUCGGGUUGUAAAGCACUUUCGGCCGGAACGAAAUCGCCUCCGUUAAUAGCGAGGGUGGAUGACGGUACCGGAAGAAGAAGCACCGGCUAACUAAGUGCCAGCAGCCGCGGUAAUACGUAGGGUGCGAGCGUUAAUCGGAAUUACUGGGCGUAAAGGGUGCGCAGGCGGCGUCGCAAGUCAGGCGUGAAAUCCCCGGGCUUAACCUGGGAAUGGCACUUGAAACUACGAUGCUGGAGUAUGGCAGAGGGAGGUGGAAUUCCACGUGUAGCGGUGAAAUGCGUAGAGGUGUGGAGGAACACCGAUGGCGAAGGCAGCCUCCUGGGCCAAUACUGACGCUCAUGCACGAAAGCGUGGGGA